CGACGCCGCGUGAGGGAUGACGGCCUUCGGGUUGUAAACCUCUUUCAGCAGGGAAGAAGCGCAAGUGACGGUACCUGCAGAAGAAGCGCCGGCUAACUACGUGCCAGCAGCCGCGGUAAUACGUAGGGCGCAAGCGUUGUCCGGAAUUAUUUGGGCGUAAAGAGCUCGUAGGCGGUUUGUCGCGUCUGCUGUGAAAACGCGAGGCUCAACCUCGCGCCUGCAGUGGGUACGGGCAGACUAGAGUGCGGUAGGGGAGACUGGAAUUCCUGGUGUAGCGGUGGAAUGCGCAGAUAUCAGGAGGAACACCGGUGGCGAAGGCGGGUCUCUGGGCCGUAACUGACGCUGAGGAGCGAAAGCAUGGGGAGCGAACAGGAUUAGAUACCCUGGUAGUCCAUGCCGUAAACGUUGGGCACUAGGUGUGGGGCUCAUUCCACGAGCUCCAUGCCGCAGCAAACGCAUUAAGUGCCCCGCCUGGGGAGUACGGCCGCAAGGCUA
rnacentral:rRNA from 1 species